UACGUAGGGGGCAAGCGUUGUCCGGAUUUAUUGGGCGUAAAGAGCGUGUAGGCGGUUUGGUAGGUCCGCUGUGAAAACUCGAGGCUCAACCUCGAGACGCCGGUGGAAACCAUCAGACUAGAGUCCGGAAGAGGAGAGUGGAAUUCCUGGUGUAGCGGUGAAAUGCGUAGAUAUCUGGAGGAACAUCAGUGGCGAAGGCGACACCCUGGACUCAUACUGACACUGAGGUGCGAAAGCGUGGGGAUCAAACAGG
rnacentral:rRNA from 1 species